rnacentral:rRNA from 1 species
AUGAUUCGUUAUGUGCAAGAGUGUUGCGUGCACGAUACUACCCCCACGGGCAAUAUUCUUAACUGUACGCUGAAGAAAGGUUCUUCCUUUGUAUGGCAGAGCAUAUUUGCAGGCAUACAAACCUUCAAGAAAGGAAGCAUCUGGAGAGUUGGGGACGGAACAAAGAUUGACAUUUGGGAGGACUGCUGGAUCCCGAACAGCCCAACAAGGAAGAUAUUAACACGGCGAGGUAACUGUCUGUUAUCAUAUGUGAGCGAUCUAAUCGAUCCUAUAUCAGGUGACUGGGAUGAGCAGAUUAUCAGAGAUAAUUUCUGGAGUAUAGAUGUUGAUCGUAUAUUGCAAAUUCCACUAUCCCAUCAUAUUUUGGAGGAUGUUGUUGCAUGGCACUUUACGAAGAAUGGAGUCUAUAGUGUUCAAUCUGGCUAUUACAGAGAAUGGGAAGAUCAAUAUGGUCUGAAAAUUGGUGGCGACGCAGGACAGUUGAGUACACCGGAUCACCCGGUUUGGAAGAGGCUGUGGAAGUUAAAGCUACCAGGGAAAGUUAAAAUCUUCAUUUGGAGAUGCUUGCAUAACACCAUCAUGUUUAAGUGUACAUUGGCUAACAGGCAUAUUCCCACGAGUGGGCAGUGUCCUAUUUGUCAGCAGGGGGCGGAGGAUACAAAGCACACACUCUUCACAUGUUCCCGUGCUAGGUUGAUAUGGUAUGAGCUGGGCUUGCAAACUGUCAUAGAUGAGGCGAUCCCUAUUGACAGAUCGGGCGCGAGAGUAAUGGAGUCUCUCCUGUGCGAUGACAGGUUUCAACGCAGAUAUAUGGAUGUUAUUACCAUACCUGAAGUUAUAGCCUCCACUAGCUGGUAUUUGUGGUGGCAGAGAAGGGAGCUAGUAAGAGGGGAGCAAGUCCAAAAUCCGGUACACACAGCUAUGGCUAUCUAG